rnacentral:rRNA from 1 species
AGCGAACGCUGGCGGCAGGCCUAACACAUGCAAGUCGAACGGAUCCUUCGGGAUUAGUGGCGGACGGGUGAGGAACACGUGGGAACGUGCCUUUUGGUUCGGAACAACUCAGGGAAACUUGAGCUAAUACCGGAUGUGCCCUUCGGGGGAAAGAUUUAUCGCCAUUAGAGCGGCCCGCGUCUGAUUAGCUAGUUGGUGGGGUAAAGGCUCACCAAGGCUACGAUCAGUAGCUGGUCUGAGAGGAUGAUCAGCCACACUGGGACUGAGACACGGCCCAGACUCCUACGGGAGGCAGCAGUGGGGAAUCUUGCGCAAUGGGCGAAAGCCUGACGCAGCCAUGCCGCGUGAAUGAUGAAGGUCUUAGGAUUGUAAAAUUCUUUCACCGGGGACGAUAAUGACGGUACCCGGAGAAGAAGCCCCGGCUAACUUCGUG